ACGGAAGGCAGCAGUAGGGAAUAUUGGACAAUGGAGGAAACUCUGAUCCAGCAAUACCGCGUGAAUGAUGAAGGUCUUCGGAUUGUAAAGUUCUUUUAGUGGGAAAGAUAAUGACGGUACCCACAGAAAAAGCACCGGCUAACUUCGUGCCAGCAGCCGCGGUAAUACGAAGGGUGCUAGCGUUAUUCGGAAUUACUGGGCGUAAAGAGUAUGUAGGUGGUUUAGUAAGUUAGUUAUAAAAUCCCAGGGCUUAACCCUGGAAUCGUAAUUAAUACUGCUUUACUUGAGUAUAGUAGGGGAUGGCGGAAUUCUUAGUGUAGGGGUAAAAUCCGUAGAUAUUAAGAGGAACACCGGUAGUGUAAACGGCUAUCUUGACUAUAACUGACACUAAAGUGCGAAGGCAUAGGGAGCAAACAGGAUUAGAUACCCUGGUA
rnacentral:rRNA from 1 species